UACAAGCAACACACUGACUUCCAAUAGCUGU
rnacentral:piRNA from 1 species